rnacentral:lncRNA from 1 species
UGACAGCUCAUAAUUGUCUGUGACUCCAGUUCCAGACCUCUCCUGGUCUCAUUGGGCAUGGGUAAGGUACACAGACACAUGCAGGGAACACCUAUAUACGUAAAAAUUAACAAACAAAAAAUCCUUGUAAGGGCAUGGAAGGAGUCAUUAAGACUUGGACUCAGCUCUCACGGGUCAAAGGGACUCCAGAUGAGUACGGAGUAAGCCUCUCAUCUGCCUAUUCCCGAGGGUAGCCUCUCUCCCCUGGUCUUGGGACUCUUCCCCUCCCCCACCCCCCCAGUUUCCAAAUGUAAGAUUUUCCUUUAAGGUCCUAAACUUUAACUUCUGUCCCAAGUCUGUCUGUCUCAGCAGAUUUCCACUUGGCUGACAGACACCAUCCAGGAAUCAACUAUGGACUACAAACUGCUCGAAACGGCCCUGAGCUCUGGACUCGAUAAAUGCGGCUAUGAACCAGUCGCCGAUGUCGCUCCCUGUGUCUUCUGCUGGGUCAUCUAACCGGAUGCUCCUGAUGUACGUCCCAUUACCUGAAUCCCCUCCCUGCCUUUGACUAACGUUCCAGCCUUCCCAAGCCCUGGCGACGUCCUUGUCUCAGCAGGAAGUAGCUACAGAAGAGAGUGCGUCGCCCCUUGUCCCCGACAGGCUGGAAUGUUAGAUCGAAAGGGCAUUCCCUGGUGUAGGGGACAAAAUGGCUACCUAUAGUGCCUAUUGGCAUACCAGGAAAGAUUCCUGUUCAACUCAGAGAGACCCAGCCCUAUCAACAGGUAGAUUCAUCAGCUGAAGUAGUUGUUCAAAGUGACAGGGCCCAGACCUGCCUUAUGCAGGGACAGGGAGGUGUUGUGUGGCUUUAAGAGGAAACUGUUGGUUGUAUACAAACCACUCAGGGAUCAUCAGAGGUAAUCUGACUGUACUCAAAGAAAUUUUCCAGAAAUGGCUGUUCCCCAUUCUCAUCGUCACUCCUCCUAGUUAGUAACUCUGACGGCUUAGUAAUCUCAGGGUCUUUGACCCUUGUAUUUCAGCCAAUUACCUCUGCCUCUUGCUCAUUAGUGACUUAAGUAGAUAAUAAUUCCUGCCUGGGUACUGUUAGGCUGAUGGCUGUUAGAUCCCAGUGUAAACAGGUACCCAUCGCAGAGCCAGGGAUUCGACUCGGGAUACAACUCGAGGAAAGGAUGUGAGAGACAAUGCUAUACUAUUUUAAGUUUCAAUUACGGUGCCUAAGAGACCCACUAAACAAAAAUACCUCUAUUGUGGGCCACGUUCCUGAAAGGCUGGAGGCUGCUGUUGGUGGGAGACAACAAGCCAUGUGGCCUGCUCCCCUAAACAACUUUGUUUGACACACCACACUGGGUGUGCUCGUUCACAGGUAGUGGGGAGGUACACGGGCGGGAAAUAAAUCAGGAUAUAUGUUUGCCCCUGAUUGGAUCUGGUGGGAAAUAUGGUGUUUUAUGGGAUUUGUCUUUUUAAGCCUGAAUGUGACUGGCCAGAGUCCAUCAUCCUGACCACUAUAUAAUUAAAGCUUGUUUCAAACUUAGCUCAGAGUCGUGGUAGUGGUCUUAUUCUUGCCCGUGGGAUUAACAUUAGCCUUUUGUGUGCUGGGGUGUAUAAGCAAGUUCCACUGUGGCCAUCCCCAAAAUUCCUAGAAACUUAACUGCCACACCCACUCCAGUAGAGUCUGUGUGACAUGAACCUCUUGUGCUUCGUUUCUAUCCAGAACAGAGGCCUGUGCCUGGAAUGGCUUGGCCUCCUGGAGGUCCCUGGCCGUCUCCCUACAAAAAGAUGAUGACUGGGGUCUAUGCUUGCAGUGGAGGUGCCUUCUGUGUUCUAGCCUUGGUGAUCUUAGCAACUUUAAGCCUGUCAACAAUAUCUGAUUUUAAGAAUGUAGCAGUGUGGGAAGAUGGUCAUGGACCUUUAGAUGUCUCAGGAACUGAAAGUUCAGAGACAUCUAAACCACCACGUCUCACACCACCAUGAUCCUGAUGAACUCAACGGCUGCGAUGAACUCAACUGCUGCACCCAUUCGUUCCCAGCAAAUAGGAGAGAAAUUAAUUGCAGUUACUAAUAACAUGACUGUUCCAGAAAAGCCCCCCCCUUUGGGAAAGUUUUGUUUAGCAUGAUUCAGAAUAGUAGUGACUCUUAGAAAGAUCAUGGAUAAGUUCCAACAAGUUGAGCAAAUUUAUCAAGAGUUAACUAGAAGGAAAAGAGAAACUAACAUUGAGCAAGAAACGAAAGAAAUUAUAGAAUGGUUACAAAAGUUUCCUUUUUAUUCUGAGGGCCCAUAGAGUUUAAACUUUAUUAAAAUAAAGGUAAAUGUUAAAUGUAUAUCUGGUACCCACAAGUCUGGUAGUAUAACUGCAGUUUUCUAAACUAUUGUUUGCGGCUGAGAACUGUUUCCUGGACUGUAUAUUCAGCUUUCCUUCUUACAAGGGACAUUUGGUGGGGUGAUGAAUAAGAGCUGGAUGACUGCCAAUUAUGAUGCACCUGUUCUAACUGCUUAAAUAUGUGCCAAGAAGUAAAGCUUUUGCAGCAGCACA